rnacentral:rRNA from 1 species
GACGAACGCUGGCGGCGUGCCUAAUACAUGCAAGUUGAGCGAUGAAGCUUGGUGCUUGCACCAAUUUGAAGAGCAGCGAACGGGUGAGUAACGCGUGGGGAAUCUGCCUUUGAGCGGGGGACAACAUUUGGAAACGAAUGCUAAUACCGCAUAAUAACUUUAAACAUAAGUUUUAAGUUUGAAAGAUGCAAUUGCAUCACUCAAAGAUGAUCCCGCGUUGUAUUAGCUAGUUGGUGAGGUAAAGGCUCACCAAGGCGAGGAUACAUAGCCGACCGGAGAGGAUGAUCGGCCGCAUUGGGACUGAGACACGGCCCAAACGCCUACGGGAGGCAGCAGUAGGGAUUCUUCGGCAAGGGACGAAAGACUGACCGAGCAGCGCCGCGUGAGUGAGGAAGGUUGUCGGAUCGUAAAACUCGGUUGGUAGAGAAGAACGUUGGUGAGAGUGGAAAGCUCAUCAAGUGACGGUAACUACCCAGAAAGGGACGGCUAACUACGUG